AUGGGUCUUCAAGGUGAACCCUUGGUAAAAAGUCGGGUUGUGGGAUUGCUGAGCUGCUGUCUUCCACCAGAUCCUUUCAUUUUUAGCAGGUGUUGUCUUUCCCACUGUUCACGACUGACUUGUCGAAAGAGAGAGAGCGAGCGAGAGCAAGCAAGAGCGAGCACAGGCAGACAGUGGAAGGCAGAGUCAGAGGGAGAAGCAGGCUCCCUGAAGAGCAAGGAGCCCGAUGUGGGACUCGAUCCCAGGACGCUGGGAUCAUGACCUGAGCCGAAGGCAGCUGCUUAACCAACUGAGCCACCCAGGCGUCCACCCAUCUUUUUUCUUAUGUGCAGUACUUUUUUAGUAGAUUUUUUGUGAUAAAAUAUAUAUAAUAUAAAAUAUAUUAUUUUAAACAUAUUUAACUGUACAAUUCAGUGGCAUUUAAGUACAUUCACAUUAUUGUGCCCCUAUUAUGACUAUCCAUCUCCAGAAAAUUUUCAUCAUCCCAAACUGAAUUCAGUUUCAGUCAACAAUAACUCCCCCAUUAUUCUCUCCUCUAGCUCCUGGUAACCACUAUUCUACUUUCUAUCUCUGGAUUUCGCUACUCUAGUUACUUCCUGUAAGUGCAACCGUACAAUGUUAAUACUUUUGUUCUUGGCUUAUUUUACUUAGCACUAUAUUUUUAAGGUUCAUCCACAUGGUAGUGUGUAUAAGAAUUUCCUUGUUUUAGGGCUGAAUAAUAGUCCACUGUAAAUUAAUUUCACAUUUUGUUUAUUUGUUCAUCGAUGGAAAUUUGGGUAAUUUCUACCUUUUGGCUAUGGUGAAUAAUGGUUAUGAACAUGAUGUAGAAAUAUUCGUUCCUGAUUUCAGUUCUUUUGGAUCUAUUCCCAGACGUGGAAUUGCUGGUUUAUAUGCUAAUUCUGUGCUUAAUUCAUUGAGAACUACCAUACUAUUUUCCAUAGCAGCACCAUUUUUUAUUAACAUAUAAUGUAUUUUAAAAAUGAACAUAUAUAAAUCCAUUAAUGUACAUUAUUUUCUGUAAGAUAAAUGUUCAAAAUUGAGUCAAAAUGUAAUAGCUAGACAAAUAGUAUGCUUAAAAUGUUUCAAUGAUAUUAAAGAUAUACGUAACAAAAAAAAUUAACAUAUAAUGUAUUAUUUGCACCAGGGGUACGGGUCUGUGAAUCAUCAGGCUUAUACAUUUCACAGCACUCACCAUAUCACAUACCCUCCCCAAUUCCCUUAACCCAACCACCCUCUCCAUACCUCCCUUUCCCCCAGCAACCCUCAGUUCUUUCAUGAGAUUAAGAGUUUCUUAUUGUUUGUCUCCCUCCUGAUCCCAUCUUGUUUUAUUUUUCCUUCCCUCCACUGAAACCCUGCCCUGCCUCUCAAAUUCCUCAUAUUAGAGAGAUCAUAUGAUAAUUGUCUUUCUCUGAUUGACUUAUUUUGCUCAGCAUAAUUCCCUCUAGUUCCAUCCACAUCAUUGCAAAUGGCAAAGUUUUGUUUCUUUUGAUGGUUGCAUAGUAUUCCAUUGUAUAUAUAUACCACAUCUUCUUUAUCCAUUCUUCUGUUGAUGCACAUCUAGGUUCUUUCCAUAGUUUGGCUAUUGUGGACAUUGCUGCUAUAAACAGUUGGGUGCAGGUGCCCCUUCAGAUCAGUACAUUUGUAUCUUCAGGGUAAAUACCCCUGUAGAGCAGCACCACUUUAAAUUCCUAUUUGCAGUACACAAAGGUUCUGAUUUCUGUGCAUCCUUGACAACAUUUGUUAUUAACCAAUAAUCUUUAUCCUAAAGGGUGUGAAGUGGUAUGUCAUUGUGGUUUUGAUUUGCAUUACACUAGUGAUUAGUGAUGUUGAACACCUUUACAUGGGCCUCUUGGCCAUUGUUUAUGUUCUUUGGAGAAAUAGCUAUUCAAGUCCUUUGCCCACUUUUUGACUGGAUUAUUUUUGUUGUUGAGUUGUAAGAGGUUUUAUAGUUCCCUUAUUAGUCCCUAUAUCCAUCCCUUAUCAGGUAAGUGAUUUGAAAAUAUUUUCUUCCAUUUUGUAGAGACAUGUGCCUUUUCUUUCUAUUGCAGUGUCCUUUGAUGCAGUUGUUGUUUGUGCUUUUGGUGUCAUAGCCAAGAAAUCAUUGCCAAAUCCACUGUCAUGGAGCUUUUCCUUGUAUUUUCUUCUAUGAGUUUUUAAUUUUAUGUUUCAUAUUUAGGUCUUUGAUCCAUUUUGAGUGAAUUUAUGUAUAUGAUGUAAGGUAAGAGCCCAAUUUCAACCUUUUGCAUGUGGAUAUCCAGUUUUGCCACACCAUUUGUUGCAAAUAUUUUCACUUCUCUGGGUUUUUAUGUUUUAGAGCUUUUUUGAUUCCAGGCUUAUUCCUGUCGGAUCCCAAGCUGCUUCUCUGGCUUGUCCUCACUCUCACUGAUUUGUGCUCCAGGGAUUCAAGUUAUUUGACUGGGAACAAAAGGAAGAUAAAAUGAACCUGAAUCUAGUGCAGAAGCAUGGUGGUCUAGCAGAGCCUAGUGAAAGUGAUAGUUGAAAUAUUGACUAUAGUGAUCUUGCUGUAACCUUGGCUAAACCUAUUUCAUUUGUUGUGAGUUGGAAAUAGUGAUAAGAAGACCCACCUUAUUUUGCCAAACAAUAGCAUAAACCCUGGCAUAUUAUUAUGGCCAGUAGUCAUUAUUGUGGUUAAUGUUUAUGGAAAGAGUACUCUGUACUGCUCUAUUUUAAAUGCUUCACAUUUAUUAUCUCAUUUAAUACUCAAAAUAGUCUUAUGAAGUCAGUGCUAUCAUUUUCACUGUUUUACCAUGUCUGAGCAUCUCUUGUCAUUGGUAAAAUGAAGAAAGUUAUAUCUGCCUUGCAGAACUAUUUGGGAGGAUUAAAUGAGAGCAGUGAAAAUAAAGGGCCUAGCAAAGAAUGUGCACAUAGAUGCUUAACAGAUGGUAGCUGCUUUCCCUCAGUCCAGGAAGUUAUUUCAGUAAUCACAAACCAUAUUAAAUGAGGAUUCUACUUUGUUCUAACAAUCUUGAAUUUCCUGAUACUUCCCCUUCUAGGUAAAUUAUAUUGAUUUAUACUGGUCAGAUAGGAAAGUCUGAUAUCUUUUAUUUAUGAAACAGGAAUACUUUCUAGUAUUUCUCUUGGUUAAUCAUGUUCUUUUUUCAUUACUGGCAAGCUCUUAAUUUUUUUCUCAUUACAAAAAUAAUAUAGUAAGAGAAAGGAUGAAGGAAAGAGACUGUUUAUUGUCAGACACUAGGAAGACUUCUAUAGACACUCGUCCAGGGAAUGAGCAACACCAGCAGCCUUGGAAACAACUGCACUAAUAUAUUAGUGAUGUUUUAA
rnacentral:lncRNA from 1 species